ncrna:unclassified sequences skipping-rope RNA
GUUAUUCGAGGUGGAAGAUUUCGUACGAUCCACACGCCGAUGGUACUGACAGGGGAAUCCCGAGAGAUGCAGGAGAAUUGUACGCCUGCCGAAUAGC